CCUACGGGGGGCAGCAGUGAGGAAUAUUGGUCAAUGGACGAGAGUCUGAACCAGCCAAGUAGCGUGAAGGAUGACUGCCCUAUGGGUUGUAAACUUCUUUUAUAUGGGAAUAAAACGUUCCACGUGUGGGAUUUUGUAUGUACCAUAUGAAUAAGGAUCGGCUAACUCCGUGCCAGCAGCCGCGGUAAUACGGAGGAUCCGAGCGUUAUACGGAUUUAUUGGGUUUAAAGGGAGCGUAGGUGGAUUGUUAAGUCAGUUGUGAAAGUUUGCGGCUCAACCGUAAAAUUGCAGUUGAAACUGGCAGUCUUGAGUACAGUAGAGGUGGGCGGAAUUCGUGGUGUAGCGGUGAAAUGCUUAGAUAUCACGAAGAACUCCGAUUGCGAAGGCAGUUCACUGGACUGUAACUGACACUGAGGCUCGAAAGUGUGGGUAUCAAACAGGAUUAGAUACCCUGGUAGUC
rnacentral:rRNA from 1 species